rnacentral:rRNA from 1 species
GACGAACGCUGGCGGCGUGCCUAAUACAUGCAAGUUGAGCGAUGAAGAUUGGUGGUUGCACCCAUUUGAAGAGCAGCGAACGGGGGAGUAACGCGUGGGGAAUCUGCCUUUGAGCGGGGGACAACAUUUGGAAACGAAUGCUAAUACCGCAUAACAACUUUAAACAUAAGUUUUAAGUUUGAAAGAUGCAAUUGCAUCACUCAAAGAUGAUCCCGCGUUGUAUUAGCUAGUUGGUGAGGUAAAGGCUCACCAAGGCGAGGUUACAUAGCCGACCUGAGAGGGGGAGAGGCAACGUUGGGACUGAGACACGACCCACCCUCCUGCGGGUGGCAGCAGGAGGGAAUCUCCGGGAAUGGACGAAAGGCGGACCGAGCAACGCCGCGUGAGUGACUAAGGUUUCCGGACCGUGAAACUCUGUUGGUAGAUAAGAACGUUGGUGAGAGUGGACAGCUCAGCAAGUGACGGUAACUACCCAGAAAGGGACGGCUAACUCCGUG